AUGAAAUCGCUCAAGUUUUUCUUUGUGCUAGCGAUUCUGGUUGCUCUAUCAGCUGUCCAUACUCUCUCAGCAACAUCAUACGAAUUCGAAGAAUCAUUCUUCAACGACGUCGUCGAGGAAGACAACAAUAAUGUUACAAAUGAAACCUUUGACGACCUCCCAGUUAUGGCCGCACAAGGACAAGAAAAAACUUCUCUUAGAGGAAGAAGCCGCUUUCUUGCUUCUCAUCGGGCCAUGGCUGCGACAUGCGACAAAAACCCUAAGGUGUGUAAAGCCACGCAUGCACAUUGCUGCCACAACAAAUGUGUUGAUUUGAAGACAGACAAACUCAACUGUGGAAAGUGUGGGGUGAAAAGCCAUCACGCACAGAUAUGUUGCAAAGGUCAUCUUGUGAACCCAAUGUCUGACAAGACACACUGUGGAGGCUGCGACAACCAUUGCAAGAAAGGCGGUUCAUGUGCGUUUGGGAUGUGCAGCUAUGCUUAG
rnacentral:lncRNA from 1 species